UUAUUAUUUAUUACCAUAAAAAUAAUAAGAAUAACAUUUGCUAAUUGAUAAAGGUUCUUCUAGAGCUAGAGAAAGAACGUUUUCUAUCAGUCAGUUGCCAAUUCUCGUGGACAAAGCCAAGCUUCGCCGUUCCCGUUUGGCCUCCCUUGCUCUUUAGGCAGGGGAAGGCGUGUGUUUUUUUUUUUUUUAAUUUACUUUUUUUUUUAUGGUGUAGAUGCUUUUACAACAUCGACUUUGGUGCUCUUCUCCUCUAUUCGGACGGUGUUUCUUUCUGUUUGUUGGUGUUGAUCUUAUAAAUCUCGAGUAUUACAGGUAAGGGACUAUUUGAGAUGAUCUGUAGCUGAGAUUUGAGUUGUUUUGAGCUUCAUACGAGUGCCCUUUCAUUUCUAUCAACAACUGCAUGUGGCUUCAGAGAGCCAGUGGAAUAGGUCCAAAGCUAGAAUGUGUUGAAGUGGCCCUCCAUGUCUAUAUGAGAAUGCAACUACCGAUUUUUUCACGUCUUCAGUGACGCAGAAGUCGUGAUUCAUCUAGUUCGUACUUAUCUGGGUUUCCGAGGAGUUUUUGGACCGAGCUAUGAUAGGUUUCAAGGACGCUCUCUUGAUGUUUUUACUUACUGUGUUGUCUUCUUGAAUCUUUUGAGCUUUCUUGAAGCGUAUUGUCGGAUGCGUUUGCGUUGGUCCAGGGGAGUUUCUGCUUAUUUGCAAUAGCUGAUCCCUACGAGUUCUUAGGACAGUUUUGCUCCUGGUUUCUCGGCGAUGCUCCCAAGUUUCAGAGGAUGGGUUUUGAAAGAUUCAGGUUGUGGGCCUGAGUUUUUAUUAUGGGUUGUGAAUCUACUCUGUACCUUUAUGUUCUUUAUUUUUUAUUACUCUUUAAGACUUUUAAUCCAAUUAUAUUACAUGAUAAAAAAAUUAUUAAUUGAUUAGAUUUAAAUCAAAGGGCCCAUUUAGUCAUUAUCUAAUUAAGUCCUUAAAGAUUUUUUUAUACAAUUAAAUCCAAAAACUUUUAAUUUCAAUCUAAUAAUUGUAAAUUUAACGGUUUUAUUAAUAGAGUGGUAAAGUAAAUUUUUAAUGAAUAAAAUACUAAUUUUAUAUUUUAAAUAAUUAAAAUAAAAAUCAAAUAAAU
rnacentral:lncRNA from 1 species